rnacentral:rRNA from 1 species
GUGCCAGGCAGCCGCGGUUAUACGAUUGAUGCAAGUGAAUAUUAUUGGUUAAAACAGUUGUUUAUAUUUUUAGGGUUAAAGUAUAAAUUUUUAAGGUGAAAUGUUAAAAUUUAUUUAUAGCUCUUUUUAUGAAUCUGUGAAAUUUAAAUAAUAAACUAGGAUUAGAUACCCUAUUAUUUUAAAUGUUAAUUAUAUUUACCAGGGUACUAUUAGUUAAGGUCUUUAAACCCAAAGAAUUUGGCGGUAUCUCAUUCCAUUCAGAGGAACCUACCCCGUGAUUGAUAAUACACGAUUUACUCUACUUAAUUUAUUUGUUUGUAUAUCUCCGUUAUCAGAGAAUCUUUUUAGAGUUAUAAUUCUCAAGAUUUAUAAUUAUAAAAUAUUUCAGGUCAAGGUGCAGCUUAUAGUUAAGAGGAGGUGGGUUACAAUAGGUUUUUGUUUAUAACGGAUUUGAUGGUGAAAUACUAUUAAUGAAGGUGGAUUUGAUAGUAAUUUAAUUUAUUUAAUUUAACUGAUAUUGGCUCUGAGGUGUGUACACAUCGCCCGUCGCUCUCAUUAUUGAUUAUUCUAUUUUAUUAUUUUAAGGUAGCUUCAAUUAUAGAUGAGAUAAGUCGUAACAUAGUAGAUGUACUGGAAAGUGUAUCUAGUAAGAGUUU